UCCCGGCGGUCCGAGUCGCAACCUCAAUUAUUGGGUCUAAAACAUCUGUAGCUUGUUUGUCUAGUCUCUUGUGAAAUCUUAACUCUUAAGGUUAAGGCGUGCAAGAGAUACUGGCAGACUAGAGACUGGAGGAUGGAAGGAGUACAGUAGAGGAAGUGGUAAAAUACGUUGAUCUCAGCUGGACUAACAAUAGCGAAGGCACCUUCCAAUUACAGUUCUGACAGUGAGAGAUGAAGGCUAGGGGCGCGAAAUG
rnacentral:rRNA from 1 species